rnacentral:pre_miRNA from 1 species
ACCACCUGGGGAUCUUGUUAAAAUACAGAUUCUAAUUUAGUAAGUCUGGGUAGGGCUCAAGAUUUUGUGUUUCCAACAAGCUUCCAGGUGAUGCUGA